rnacentral:rRNA from 1 species
GAUGAACGCUGGCGGCGUGCCUAAUACAUGCAAGUCGAGCGAACAGACGAGGAGCUUGCUCCUCUGAUGUUAGCGGCGGACGGGUGAGUAACACGUGGAUAACCUACCUAUAAGACUGGGAUAACUUCGGGAAACCGGAGCUAAUACCGGAUAACAUGUUGAACCGCAUGGUUCAACAGUGAAAGACGGUCUUGCUGUCACUUAUAGAUGGAUCCGCGCCGCAUUAGCUAGUUGGUAAGGUAACGGCUUACCAAGGCAACGAUGCGUAGCCGACCUGAGAGGGUGAACGGCCACACUGGAACUGGGACACGGUCCAGACUCCUACGGGAGGCAGCAGUAGGGAAUCUUCCGCAAUGGGCGAAAGCCUGACGGAGCAACGCCGCGUGAGUGAAGAAGGUCUUCGGAUCGGAAAACUCUGUUAUUAGGGAAGAACAAAUGUGUAAGUAACUAUGCACGUCUUGACGGUACCUAAUCAGAAAGCCACGGCUAACUACGUG